UUGACAUAGACAAAUCAAGAAUAAAGAUACUCAAAUUGCACUUCAAAAAUACCAAACAAUAUUCUCCAGAGGUGAAGAAACACAGAUACAGAGAAUAAACACACAUUGGAAAAGAACAAUGAAUUAAACGAUAAAUACCUGAAUGAGAAGAUAGCUCUUGCCAUCAAAUCCAUUCUUGAUGACUUCGAAUGUGAAUAUAGCAUAUGGGAAAAUAAGCAGCAUCUUCCACCAGCUGGGACAUAUUCCCAAGUUUCACUGCUGGAGUAUCAGCAUUUACGAAUACUUCAUCAGUCCCAAAUGUGUAUAAAAACAGGAAAAUAAUCAAGAAAAUUUGUAGAGAAAAUCUUGAAGGAGCCAAGAACCCAAAAAUGGUGAAGACAUGGCCAAAAAAAGAAAAAUGGUAAACCCGCACUUCUAAUUCUCUUUUUCGGGCCUCUAGAAAAUGCAUGUUAUAUAGAUAAAGUGACAUACUAAACCAUAUAAUAUAUGGUGGGCGGGGAUGGGGGUGGGAGUAGGGGUAAGGUGAAGGCUCGAUUGGGAGGGUUUUGCAGCUUUUAAGAAUGGAAAGACAAAGUUCUAGAGAUGAAACGAUCAUUGUCGGCAUCUGUAAAACGGGCUGGCUGUUUGUGGUUCAUCUAUUACUGACCCGUGAAUCCGAUUUGCUUAA